rnacentral:rRNA from 1 species
GAUGAACGCUGGCGGCGUGCCUAAUACAUGCAAGUCGAGCGAACAGACGAGGAGCUUGCUCCUCUGACGUUAGCGGCGGACGGGUGAGUAACACGUGGAUAACCUACCUAUAAGACUGGGAUAACUUCGGGAAACCGGAGCUAAUACCGGAUAAUAUAUUGAACCGCAUGGUUCAAUAGUGAAAGACGGUUUUGCUGUCACUUAUAGAUGGAUCCGCGCCGCAUUAGCUAGUUGGUAAGGUAACGGCUUACCAAGGCAACGAUGCGUAGCCGACCUGAGAGGGGUGACCGGCCACCCGGAAACGAGGCCAGGUUCCAGCUCCCUCCGGGAGCCAGCAUUAGGAAUCUUCCCGCAUUGGGGGAAACCCGACCGGACCAACGCCGCGUGAGUGAUGAAGGUCUUCGGUUCGUAAACCUCUGUUAUAAGGGAAGAACAAAUGGGUAAGUACCUAUGCCCUUCUUGACGGUACCAAAUCAGAAGGCAACGGUUACUUCCGU